GCAGCAAAACCUUUAUCUGCCCCCCACUCCUACAAAACACCUGUAUUGGCUUCUACAGCCACAGCAGAAGCUGGAGAUGCACAUUGAAGGUUGGCAAGAGAAGCGUUACUGAAGUCUUCCAGCCACUGCUUGAAAUAUAAAAUAGAGCAGUCACAGUGCCAAGGGUUGUUGGAGAAAUCAACUUCUUUCAGCAUCUCACAACCAGAUGAUCUCAUCCGUCCAUCAGCCAAUUCUUCUCCUACAAGUGGAAGAAAACAAGGCAAUGCUGAAUGUCACAGCUGUUGCACACUGUGUGUUCUGUUGGAGAAGAGGAAAAGACCCACCUUUAUGUCCACUCAGCUGCCAUGUACGUUUGGGAUGUCACAGGUAGGCUGCAGCCAAUGGCAACAGGUGGGGAUACAUAAUCAUAAUCUUGGGACUCACAACUGUGGGUGUACCACAGCAGUGAUUUAUUUGUGUGCUUGUUUAGCAUUAAAAAUAAUAACG